rnacentral:lncRNA from 1 species
UUGAACCAGUCCUCUGGGCUUCUUAACCCUUCCACGUCCCCUCAUCUGUGAACAAACAAAAAUUGUCAUUGCCAAAAAUAAUAUAAAGUUCAUCCAUAUCAAAAGUGCAUCAUGUUUGGAAUAUCUACCUAUCCAACCACACUUAGUGUAAAUUCAAACACAUGCAUAAAAAAAAUUUCACAAUGCAAUUAGAAUUCAAUUCUAGAGUAACUUUGAAAACUUUAAAAUGGGACAUUCCAUGUGAAUAUUCAACAUCAAUUCAAAUCCAUUAAAUAUCAUGAAAAUUUUCUCUUUUUUUGACUCGACUUUGAGGCCGAAUUUAUUUACAAAUUUGCUAGAAAUUGCACCUGCUGGUGCACUUGCCAAGUGCACCAGCAGGUG